AACACAUUUAUGCGUAUCCUCCCAUGUUUGCAUUUCCCAGGCCAGUGGCCACUGCGUGCCAGCCAUGCCGUUUUUCGGUUACAUGGUUGAGGUGCUUGGGGAAGGGCUAAUUAUCAAACUUUACUUCACCUUAUUGUCUGAGAAGGCCAUGUGCCGUAAUCUUUAAACAUGWUAAAACUUUCAACAACGGAUCUCUUGGCUCUCGCAUCGAUGAAGAACGCAGGGAAAUGCGAUAAGUAAUGUGAAUUGCAGAAUUCAGUGAAUCAUCGAAUCUUUGAACGCACAUUGCGCCCUUUGGUAUUCCUUAGGGCAUGCCUGUUCGAGCGUCGCAAAAACCCAGAUCACCUAGAGUGUGGUAUUGGCAGAAGUGGCCGGGGCUAUCAGCGCUGCUGCCACUCUGCUGGAAUGAAUAGGCUGGAAAAGUAGAUCAUAGCAACAGACUUUCACAGUAUUUUGAAAUGCUAAAUUAGUU
rnacentral:rRNA from 1 species